GGUUCUCGCUAGGUAUUGCCUCUUAGUUUUGUAUAAAACCUGUAUUUCUUUAAAUUUGCCCUUCUUUCUACUAUGAUGGGGGUGUGUUGAUGGAGGGG